ensembl:lincRNA
GCUGUUCCCAGCCCAGCACUUGAGACCCCCCGGUGACCUGGGAUGGGUACCACCAGUUAUCCUUGGACAUAGCAGGACCCUGUGGUUCCCGGGGACAGGGGCAGCUAAGCUGGAGCGGAUUCUCAGCAUCCCUUUCAACUAGGCAUGGCCACAUGAGGCCUUGGACAAAGGAUGACACCUGACUAUAAGCAGCAGAGCAAGCACUGGGGAAAGAAGGCCUGCCUGCUCUCCCCGGAACCCAGGCUGCUGAGACCCGGCCGGCCAGGGCCAGAGGCUCAUUUCCAAAGAGCCCACAUCGACAUAUGUUCCCUGAGGAAGCGCACAGCCCACAGGCAGGUCUGCACCCCCUCCAUGGAGAGAGGCCUCCCGCCGGCCUCUGUCCUCUCAGCCACACAUCCUGCCUCUCCUGAGCAUGGGUUUGCACUAAGGGGACCACGGACAGGAGGACAAGAGUGUCCGUGCCACAGGCUGCCUGUGAGAGACUCCUGCAGCAGGGACAAGAAGUGACUGUUUACAAAACCCACACCGCAGGACUGUGCCUCCAAGAUGUCUUGGGUCUGGGGUCGGCAGAUGGUCUCUGCCAAGGGCUGGAAAGCAAGUGUGCUUGGACUCGGCAGGCUGCACGGUCUCUGUCAUAGCCACGUGCUGAAAGCACCCGUGGACAACACACACACACAAAAGAGUGUGUCUAUCCCCCAGUAAAACUUUAUUUACAAAAAUAGGCAGCAAGCAGAUCUAACCUGAGGCCUCAAAUCCAGAGCUAAUUCAGAUAAAGGAACCCGAGAGAAGUGUCCAGGAAGGGAGCUGCCCUCUUCAGCCUUUCAUCCAGGCACACAUUCUUUGUCCAGCCUCCCAAGACCCGUGGGACUGCCUGGCUCCCAUCUGGGUCUCUCAACAACCAUAGUUCUCCAUAUUCAACAACCUCCCAGAGCCCUGCUCAUCAGAACGUGGACGGGACCUUCCCAUGCUUGUCUGUUACCAGCACCACCCUCACAUGCCCUAGCUUUCAUCUCCCAAUGCCAGACCAUGGGUCUUAUCUGGACAAAGUGAUAAAUAUGAGGACACAGCAAAAAAAAAAAAAAAUUACUGGUGGUGUCACAAAAGACGUCACCAAGCUGACAUACGAGCUGGGUCUUUAUCACACAAAGAAGAAAGAAAAGCAGGUUCCAGGUAGAGGAGAGAAACUGCUAAACAGAACACUGCCAUGAGGUUUUCACCUUAGAAAGACAAACAUUUUCAGUAGGGAAGGAUGGAAAAGGGCAAGGUCAGAGGCAGAGAUGCAAGAAUGGGCUAAGAGGCUGGGCAGAUGGGGAUGAUGGCUGGCAUCAUGGACUCUGUGUUGUGUCCCCUGACACACACACAAACUCGUGUGCUGGAAUCACCAUCCCCAGUGUGGUGAUGUCAGGAGGUGGGUCCUGGGAGGUGAUUAGGUCAUCAGGGUGGGGCCCUCGUGACAGGGUUGGUGCCUUUAGAAGAAGAGAUAGCAAAGAGCUUGUCCCCCUCUGCUCUCUCUGCCACAUGAGGAGAUGGUGAGAACCAGAGGUCAGAGGUCAGUCGGCUCCCAGACUCCCAUCUGCUGGUACCUUGACCUUGGACUCCCACCCUUCAAAAUUGAGACAAAUAAAUGCUUAUUGUUUAGCCCAUCCAUUCUC